rnacentral:rRNA from 1 species
CUAACAAGGAUUCCCCUAGUAACGGCGAGUGAAGCGGGAACAGCUCAAAUUUGAAAUCUCAGCGCAAGCUGCGAAUUGUAGUUUAGAGAAACGUUUUCGGGGCCGGCAGCCAGUACAAGUUCUUUGGAACAAGGCAUCACAGAGGGUGAAAAUCCCGUCUUUGACUGGCCGCUUGGCUCCAUGCGAUACGUUUUCCAAGAGUCGGUUUGUUUGGGAAUGCAGACCAAAAUGGGUGGUAAAUACCAUCUAAAGCUAAAUAUUGGCGAGAGACCGAUAGCGAACAAGUACCGUGAGGGAAAGAUGAAAAGAACUUUGAAAAGAGAGUUAAAUAGUGCGUGAAAUUGUCAAAAGGGAAACGUUUAAAACCAGUAUUGCGGGCAGAAACUCAGGUUCCAUUUAUGGUGCUGUAUUUUUCUGUCGGCGAGUCAACAUCAGUUUUGCUUGGAGUAAAACGCUAGAGGAAGGUAGCCUUCGGGUGUUAUAGCCUCUAGUAAUGCUCUGGGCGGGACUGAGGACUGCAGCGUUCUUUGGGUUUACCACACCAACGCUUAGGAUGUUGACGAAAUGGUUUUAAGCGACCCGUCUUGAAACACGGACCAAGGAGUCUAACAUAUAUGCGAGUAUUUGGGUGGCAAACCCUUAUGCGCAAUGAAAGUGAAAAGGUGGGAUCCUUUGCUGGUGCACCAUCGACCGCGCCAGAUUAUUGCUAUCUCGGCGUGAGUAUGAGCAUACAUGUUGGGACCCGAAAGAUGGUGAACUAUGCCUGAAUAGGGUGAAGCCAGAGGAAACUCUGGUGGAGGCUCGUAGCGGUUCUGACGUGCAAAUCGAUCGUCAAAUUUGGGUAUAGGGGCGAAAGACUAAUCGAACCAUCUAGUAGCUGGUUCCCUCCGAAGUUUCCCUCA